rnacentral:rRNA from 1 species
GAUGAACGCUGGCGGCGUGCCUAAUACAUGCAAGUCGAGCGAACGGACGAGAAGCUUGCUUCUCUGAUGUUAGCGGCGGACGGGUGAGUAACACGUGGAUAACCUACCUAUAAGACUGGGAUAACUUCGGGAAACCGGAGCUAAUACCGGAUAAUAUUUUGAACCGCAUGGUUCAAAAGUGAAAGACGGUCUUGCUGUCACUUAUAGAUGGAUCCGCGCUGCAUUAGCUAGUUGGUAAGGUAACGGCUUACCAAGGCAACGAUGCAUAGCCGACCUGAGAGGGUGAUCGGCCACACUGGAACUGAGACACGGUCCAGACUCCUACGGGAGGCAGCAGUAGGGAAUCUUCCGCAAUGGGCGAAAGCCUGACGGAGCAACGCCGCGUGAGUGAUGAAGGUCUUCGGAUCGUAAAACUCUGUUAUUAGGGAAGAACAUAUGUGUAAGUAACUGUGCACAUCUUGACGGUACCUAAUCAGAAAGCCACGGCUAACUACGUGCCAGCAGCCGCGGUAAUACGUAGGUGGCAAGCGUUAUCCGGAAUUAUGGGCGUAAAGCGCGCGUAGCGGUUUUUUAGUCUGAUGUGAAAGCCCACGGCUCAACCGUGGAGGGUCAUUGGAAACUGGAAAACUUGAGUGCAGAAGAGGAAAGUGGAAUUCCAUGUGUAGCGGUGAAAUGCGCAGAGAUAUGGAGGAACACCAGUGGCGAAGGCGACUUUCUGGUCUGUAACUGACGCUGAUGUGCGAAAGCGUGGGGAUCAAACAGGAUUAGAUACCCUGGUAGUCCACGCCGUAAACGAUGAGUGCUAAGUGUUAGGGGGUUUCCGCCCCUUAGUGCUGCAGCUAACGCAUUAAGCACUCCGCCUGGGGAGUACGACCGCAAGGUUGAAACUCAAAGGAAUUGACGGGGACCCGCACAAGCGGUGGAGCAUGUGGUUUAAUUCGAAGCAACGCGAAGAACCUUACCAAAUCUUGACAUCCUUUGACAACUCUAGAGAUAGAGCCUUCCCCUUCGGGGGACAAAGUGACAGGUGGUGCAUGGUUGUCGUCAGCUCGUGUCGUGAGAUGUUGGGUUAAGUCCCGCAACGAGCGCAACCCUUAAGCUUAGUUGCCAUCAUUAAGUUGGGCACUCUAAGUUGACUGCCGGUGACAAACCGGAGGAAGGUGGGGAUGACGUCAAAUCAUCAUGCCCCUUAUGAUUUGGGCUACACACGUGCUACAAUGGACAAUACAAAGGGCAGCGAAACCGCGAGGUCAAGCAAAUCCCAUAAAGUUGUUCUCAGUUCGGAUUGUAGUCUGCAACUCGACUACAUGAAGCUGGAAUCGCUAGUAAUCGUAGAUCAGCACGCUACGGUGAAUACGUUCCCGGGUCU